rnacentral:rRNA from 1 species
UACGGAGGUCUCAAGCGUUGUUCGGAUUCAUUGGGCGUAAAGGGCGCGUAGGCGGCAAGGCAAGUCGGGUGUGAAAGCUUGGGGCUUAACCCCGAAAGGGCACUCGAAACUGCCCUGCUAGAGGGCCGGAGAGGAGAUCGGAAUUCACGGUGUAGCAGUGAAAUGCGUAGAGCUCGUGAGGAAGACCGGUGGCGAAGGCGGAUCUCUGGACGGCCCCUGACACUGAGGCACGAAAGCUAGGGGAGCAAACAGG